UGGAGCUGGUCCGCGGCGAGGUCGCCGUGGUCGCCGGCUACGACGGCGGGUCGGCGGUCGAACCGGCCCGCGCGUUCAAGGAGCUCGGCUUCGAC
rnacentral:tRNA from 1 species